UACGUAGGGGGCAAGCGUUGUCCGGAUUUAUUGGGCGUAAAGAGCGUGUAGGCGGCCAUACAGGUCCGUCGUGAAAACUGGAGGCUUAACCUCCAGACGUCGAUGGAAACCGUAUGGCUAGAGUCCGGAAGAGGAGAGUGGAAUUCCUGGUGUAGCGGUGAAAUGCGCAGAUAUCAGGAAGAACACCCGUGGCGAAGGCGGCUCUCUGGGACGGUACUGACGCUGAGACGCGAAAGCGUGGGGAGCGAACAGG
rnacentral:rRNA from 1 species